CUUUCUUUGCUGGCGACCGGCGCACGGGUGAGUAACACGUAUCCAACCUGCCCUUUACUCGGGGAUAGCCUUUCGAAAGAAAGAUUAAUACCCGAUGGCAUAAUGAUUCCGCAUGGUUUCAUUAUUAAAGGAUUCCGGUAAAGGAUGGGGAUGCGUUCCAUUAGGUUGUUGGUGAGGUAACGGCUCACCAAGCCUUCGAUGGAUAGGGGUUCUGAGAGGAAGGUCCCCCACAUUGGAACUGAGACACGGUCCAAACUCCUACGGGAGGCAGCAUG
rnacentral:rRNA from 1 species